rnacentral:rRNA from 1 species
UACAGAGGUCCCAAGCGUUGUUCGGAUUCACUGGGCGUAAAGGGUGCGUAGGCGGUCAGGUAAGUCUGAUGUGAAAUCUCUGGGCUUAACCCAGAAAUGGCAUUGGAUACUAUUUGGCUUGAGAGUUGGAGGGGGGACUGGAAUUCUUGGUGUAGCAGUGAAAUGCGUAGAUAUCAAGAGGAACACCAGUGGCGAAGGCGAGUCCCUGGACAACUUCUGACGCUGAGGAGCGAAAGCGUGGGGAGCGAACAGG